CUCAGAUGUUUCGAAUACUAGCGUAAUGGCUCGUGCCGCACGCGGUUGGAGUAUCUGCUGUUAUCCUUGUCAUGCAAACAGGAAUGAAACACGAAGCUUUCAUUUUCAUCGAUUCGAAGAGACCAUGAAAGUUCAAGAGCGAGAGAUGGAAGGUGCAGCUGCCAAUAUGUAUAACGUUGCGACUACAACCUAAAGUGCAUAGAUCAUAUCUACAUGCUUGGAUUCUGAGCGGAGUUGGACAGCAAAAG